rnacentral:rRNA from 1 species
GACGAACGCUGGCGGCGUGCUUAACACAUGCAAGUCGAACGGAACUUCUUGGAUUGAGGCUUCGGCCAAAUGAAUUGAAGUUUAGUGGCGGACGGGUGAGUAACGCGUGAGUAACCUGCCUUUCAGAGGGGGACAACAGUUGGAAACGACUGCUAAUACCGCAUAAUGUAUAUUGAGGGCAUCCUCGAUAUACCAAAGAUUUAUCGCUGAAAGAUGGACUCGCGUCUGAUUAGAUAGUUGGCGGGGUAACGGCCCACCAAGUCGACGAUCAGUAGCCGGACUGAGAGGUUGAACGGCCACAUUGGGACUGAGAUACGGCCCAGACUCCUACGGGAGGCAGCAGUGGGGAAUAUUGGGCAAUGGGCGCAAGCCUGACCCAGCAACGCCGCGUGAAGGAAGAAGGCUUUCGGGUUGUAAACUUCUUUUGUCAGGGAAGAUGAACAGACUGUACCUGACGAAUAAGCCACGGCUAACUACGUGCCAGCCGCCGCCGUAAAAC